rnacentral:rRNA from 1 species
GUAGGUGGCAAGCGUUGUCCCGGAAUUAUUGGGCGUAAAGCGCGCGCAGGCGGUCCUUUAAGUCUGAUGUGAAAGCCCACGGGCUCAACCGUGGAGGGUCAUUGGAAACUGGGGGACUUGAGUACAGAAGAGGAAAGCGGAAUUCCAAGUGUAGCGGUGAAAUGCGUAGAGAUUUGGAGGAACACCAGUGGCGAAGGCGGCUUUCUGGUCUGUAACUGACGCUGAGGCGCGAAAGCGUGGGGAGCAAACAGGAUUAGAUACCCUGGUAGUCCACGCCGUAAACGAUGAGUGCUAAGUGUUAGGGGGUUUCCGCCCCUUAGUGCUGCAGCUAACGCAUUAAGCACUCCGCCUGGGGAGUACGGCCGCAAAGGCUGA